rnacentral:rRNA from 1 species
UACAGAGGGGGCAAGCGUUAUUCGGAAUUAUUGGGCGUAAAGGGCGCGUAGGCGGCCUUGCAAGUGACGGGUGAAAUCCCUCGGCUUAACCGAGGAACUGCCUGUCAAACUGCGAGGCUUGAGACCGGGAGAGGUGAGUGGAAUUCCCAGUGUAGCGGUGAAAUGCGUAGAUAUUGGGAGGAACACCAGUGGCGAAGGCGGCUCACUGGACCGGUACUGACGCUGAUGCGCGAAAGCGUGGGGAGCAAACAGG